CUUCUGAGUGCCUAGAGCCAGGGAGUCCUCGCUACAACCCUGCCAGCAGCCCCUCAGUGCUACACAGAAGAAAGCAAUCACAGAAAUUACAUCUACUGGUUCUCUAUGGAACAUUGCCCAGCUCCCUGGAGGGUAAGGGGACCUUUCACGAUGAGAACUGGCUGAGAAUGUCUGUUUGCAAUUCAUCAUGACCUGGAGGAAUGGAGCAAAAGAGCAGAGCUCAAGAAAUAGAAGAGACAACCUCACUGACCCUUCCAGGAGCUUCACUUUCGGAAAGGGAUGGACAUCAUGGGGCCCACCCACAAAGCAACAUGAAAAUAGUGCAUCCCAACCUAAAACCUCGAGAAGCCACUAUCUUCUCUGCACAAGCUUCCAAUGGAUUUGAGACAUUAAACCUAUAGAUGACCACUCUUCGAUUACAAAGAGACUAGAGCUCCAGAGAACAAAAAUGCAAAUGUGUUAUCUGGACCAGUCUGCAACUCCAAGAUGGAAACAUCACUGCCAAGUCCCAGACUGCCAACCUUCACAGCACCGUCUCUGCAAAUGUUCCCCG
rnacentral:lncRNA from 1 species